UCCCUGCUGUGUGCGUGAACUCCGACAAAGAAUUUAACCGAUAGAUGAAAAUUAGGGAGACCUUAUUCUUCCGUGGCGUAUACGCCCCCGUCUUUUGACGCCAGGGGACAUAUAAAGCGGAGGAUGGGUCACCCACCUGUGUGAAGCAGGUUAAAUUUUCAAGGAGAUAACGGCACCGCGGGGCAU
rnacentral:other from 1 species